ensembl:lncRNA
AAAAAAAAAAAAAAAGACAUGAGUUUGGGCUCCUCUUGAGCACAGAUUAUGCCCAGAAUCUCCAAAGUUUCUGCAUUUCAUAGAACAAUUUGCUCUAAAUUCCCUUAUUCUUUUUUUCCCCCUCCCCUGCACUUGCUAUUAAAUAUGUCUGUUAAUUGUCUCUCCCAUCAGAAUGUAAACUCCAUGAAGGCAAGAAUGGGGACACUUUAUCAUCAGUGUUCCCAACUCCUAGAACAAUCCCUCCUGUAGAGUAGGGGUUCAAUGAAUAUUUUAUUGCCUUCUCACAGUACACAUUAGUUUUUCCUCUUGCUAGAUUUCAUAAAAAGGAAAUCAGUCACUAUGUUACUUUUGGUGCCUAGCUUUUGGUGAGCACAUUUUUUUUAAAGAAUCAUCCAUAUUGUUGCACAUGUUUAUAGUUCAUUCUUUCCAUACAUUGUUCAUCCAUUCUCCUCUUGGAGCAACUUUGGGGAUGUUUCCCAUUUGAGGCUAUAAUGUAUGAAGUUAUAAUGAAUUUUCUUGUACAAGUCUUUUUGUGGACAUAUGUUUUCAUUUCACUUGAGGACAGUUCCAGCAGUGGAAUUGCCGGAUCUUUGGAUGGGAGUAUUCAGCACUUUAAGAAACUGCCAAACUGUUUUCAAAGUAGUUGUACUGUUUCAUGCUUCCACCAACAACGUUUGAGGGCUUCAGAGAUUUCACAUGGCCACCAACAUUUAGUGUGUUCUCAGCCCUUAUAGGGAUUCCCUGGUUGCUCAGUGGUAAAGAAUCCGCCUGCCAAAGCGGGGGACAAGGGUUUGAUCCCUGGGUCUGGAAGAUCCUGUGGAGAAGGAAAUGACAACUCACUCCAGUAUUCUUGCUUGGAAAAUCCCAUGGACAGAGGAGCCUGGUGGGCUGCACUCCAUGGAUCGCAAGGAGUCAGACUCAGCUUAGUUACCAAAUGACAACAACAACAAAUUUACUUUAUUGUUUAUUUACAAUAAAUUUCUUUAUUAUGUUUAUUUACAACAACAUAAAUUACUUUAUGUUUCUACAGAUCUCGCUAUUCUGGACAGUUCAUAUAAGUGGUAUCAUACAUAUGUGGUUCUUUGUUGAGUGGUUUGAGUGUUUGAGCAUAUUUUCAAGGUUCAUUUAUAUCAUGGUAUGUACAAGUACUUCAUUCUUUUUUUAAAAAAUGCUGAAUAAUAUUCCUCUGCAAAACAUUCUGCCUCUUAUUUAUCCAUUAGUCAGUCAAUGGGUGUUUAGGCUGUCUCCAUUUUUUUUUUUUUUGGCUGUUAUGAAUAUCUGUAUAGACGUUUAUCUGUGCACAUAUAUUUUUAUUUCUCUUGGGGAUAUACUUGGGAGUGAAAUUCUGGACCAUAUGGUAACUCCAUGCUUAAUCUUUUGAGGAGCUACUAAACUGUUUUUCAAAAGUGGGUGCACCAUUUUCCAUUACCAAUAGCAAGGCUUCAAUGUAUCCAUAUCCUCACCACUUUUAAAUAUAGGCAUCCUAAUGGGCAUCAAGUAUCUCAUCGCGGUUUUGACAUGCAUUUUGCUAGUGGCUAACAAUGCUGAGCAUCUUUUCCUAUGCCUAUAGGUCAUUUGCAAGUCUUCUUUGGAGCAGUACCUAUUUUUAAUUGGGUUUUUAUUACCGAGUUGUAAGAGUUACUAGUACAUUCUAGAUAUGAAUUCCUUUUCUGAUAGACAAUGUGCAAACAUUUUCUCCCAUUCUGGGGUUGUCAUUUCACUUUCUGGAUAAUAACCCCUGAAGCAUAAAAGGUUUAAUUUUGAUGAAGUUCCAUUUAUCUAUUUUUUUCCUUUGUUGCCUAUGCUUUAGGUGUCAUAUCUAAGACUAGUGCUGUUCAGCAAUUUUUUAUGUGCUUAUUGUGUGCUUUUGUGAAAUGUAUGUUUAAAUCUUAUGUCAUUUUUCUGAGUUAUCUUUUAUGUGCUGUGAUAUAUGUUCUCAUUCACUGUCUUAUCUAUUUGUUUUCUUAAUAAUUCCUUUUGGUAUCAGAAAAUGUCAACUUUCUUGAGUCUAAUUUAUCCAUUUCCCCACCCCAUGGUUCUUGCUUUUUAGUAUCCUGUCCAAACAACCUUUGCCUACCUCCAGUUUACAAAGAUCUUUUCCUCUGUUCUAUAUAGAAACUUUAUAGUUGUAGGUUUACAUUUAGCUGUCAAAUUAAUUUUUGUGUGUGUGGAAUGAGCUAGAGGUUGAGGUUCAUUUAACCUACAUGCUUAUCCAGUUGUCCCAGCAAUACUUGUUAAAAGAGACUUUCCUUCUCACAUUGUACUCACCUGGGACCACUGUAAAAAGUCAGUUAACAUGCGUUGGUGAAUUUCUAAAAAUUCUAAUUUGUUUCAUUGACCUAUUUGUCUCUAUUUUCCUAAUACCACACUCUCUUGAAUACUCUAGGCUUAUGGUAAGUCCUAAUUAAAAUAUUUUUACUCCUUUGACUUUGUUCUUUUUCUCCAAGAUAAUUUUUGGCUACUCUAGAUCCUCUGCAUUUCCACUUAAAUUUUAGAGUCAGCUUGUCUAUUUCCUCAAAGAAAUCUGUUGUAUUUUUAUAGGGAUUAAAUUAAUCCACAGAUCAACAUCAGUCCAGAAACUGCCACGGUACCCCCUUUUCACAAAGCAAGAUUUAUAGGCCCAAUCUUCAUCUCCCAAGCAUAUUUUGUGCUUUCCUAUUAUGCACUAAAACAUCUAUCAUCUUAAUCAAUGUAUACAUGCAAUUGAAUACAAAUAUUGAUCAUAUACUUACUUAUAACUUCUAAUUUGCCACUGACCUAAUACUUCUUGAUAUCAAAGUUCAUGCUGGGAUUUCCCUGCCAGUACAGUGGUUAAGACUGCACUUCCAAUGUAUGGGGCACACGUCUGAUCCCUGGUCAGGGCGCUAAGGUCCCUCAUGACUGGAAAAAAAA